UCCGUAGGUGAACCUGCGGAAGGAUCAUUACCGAGUGCGGGCCCUCGCGGCCCAACCUCCCACCCUUGUCUCUCUACACCUGUUGCUUUGGCGGGCCCACUGGGGCUCCCUGGUCGCCGGGGGACACCCGUCCCCGGGCCCGCGCCCGCCGAAGCGCUUCGUGAACCCUGAUGAAGAAGGGCUGUCUGAGUACUAUGAAAAUUGUCAAAACUUUCAACAAUGGAUCUCUUGGUUCCGGCAUCGAUGAAGAACGCAGCGAAAUGCGAUAAGUAAUGUGAAUUGCAGAAUUCCGUGAAUCAUCGAAUCUUUGAACGCACAUUGCGCCCCCUGGCAUUCCGGGGGGCAUGCCUGUCCGAGCGUCAUUUCUGCCCUCAAGCACGGCUUGUGUGUUGGGUGUGGUCCCCCCGGGGACCUGCCCGAAAGGCAGCGGCGACGUCCGUCUGGUCCUCGAGCGUAUGGGGCUCUGUCACUCGCUCGGGAAGGACCUGCGGGGGUUGGUCACCACCACAUUUUCCAUUAUGGUUGACCUCGGAUCAGGUAGGAGUUACCCGCUGAACUUAAGCAUAUCAAUAAGCGGAGGA
rnacentral:rRNA from 1 species